rnacentral:rRNA from 1 species
GAUGAACGCUGGCGGCGUGCCUAAUACAUGCAAGUCGAGCGAACAGACGAGGAGCUUGCUCCUCUGACGUUAGCGGCGGACGGGUGAGUAACACGUGGAUAACCUACCUAUAAGACUGGGAUAACUUCGGGAAACCGGAGCUAAUACCGGAUAAUAUAUUGAACCGCAUGGUUCAAUAGUGAAAGACGGUUUUGCUGUCACUUAUAGAUGGAUCCGCGCCGCAUUAGCUAGUUGGUAAGGUAACGGCUUACCAAGGCAACGAUGGGUAGCCGACCUGAGAGGGUGAUCGGCCACACUGGAACUGAGACGCGGUCCAGACUCCUACGGGAGGCAGCAGUAGGGAAUCUUCCGCAAUGGGCGAAAGCCUGACGGAGCGGCGCCGCGUGAGUGAUGAAGGUCUUCGGAUCGUAAAACUCUGUUAUUAGGGAAGAACAAAUGUGUAAGUAACUAUGCACGUCUUGACGGUACCUAAUCAGAAAGCCACGGCUAACUACGUG